CGAGAAGCAAUCGAAAUUACUGCGCAUAACCGACCCUAAGGUGAGUUAGCAUUCCGUCAUAGGCAAAAUAGGGAACAUGGAUUAUUUUUUAUUUAUUUUGCCUCGAGAAGCAAUCGAAAUUGCUGCGCAUAACCGACCCUAAGGUGAGUUAGCAUUCCGUCAUAGGCACAAUAGGGAACAUGGAUUAUUUUUUUUUUAUUUUGCAUCGAGAAGCAAUCGAAAUUGCUGCGCAUAACCGACCCUAAGGUGAGUUAGCAUUCCGUCAUAGGCAAAAUAGGGAACAUGGAUUAUUUUUUUUUUAUUUUGCAUCGAGAAGCAAUCGAAAUUACUGCGCAUAACCGACCCUAAGGUGAGUUAGCAUUCCGUCAUAGGCAAAAUAGGGAACAUGGAUUAUUUUUUUUUUAUUUUGCAUCGAGAAGCAAUCGAAAUUACUGCGCAUAACCGACCCUAAGGUGAGUUAGCAUUCCGUCAUAGGCAAAAUAGGGAACAUGGAUUAUUUUUUUUUUAUUUUGCAUCGAGAAGCAAUCGAAAUUACUGCGCAUAACCGACCCUAAGGUGAGUUAGCAUUCCGUCAUAGGCAAAAUAGGGAACAUGGAUUAUUUUUUUUUUAUUUUGCAUCGAGAAGCAAUCGAAAUUACUGCGCAUAACCGACCCUAAGGUGAGUUAGCAUUCCGUCAUAGGCAAAAUAGGGAACAUGGAUUAUUUUUUUUUUAUUUUGCAUCGAGAAGCAAUCGAAAUUACUGCGCAUAACCGACCCUAAGGUGAGUUAGCAUUCCGUCAUAGGCAAAAUAGGGAACAUGGAUUAUUUUUUAUUUAUUUUGCCUCGAGAAGCAAUCGAAAUUGCUGCGCAUAACCGACCCUAAGGUGAGUUAGCAUUCCGUCAUAGGCACAAUAGGGAACAUGGAUUAUUUUUUUUUUAUUUUGCAUCGAGAAGCAAUCGAAAUUGCUGCGCAUAACCGACCCUAAGGUGAGUUAGCAUUCCGUCAUAGGCAAAAUAGGGAACAUGGAUUAUUUUUUUUUUAUUUUGCAUCGAGAAGCAAUCGAAAUUACUGCGCAUAACCGACCCUAAGGUGAGUUAGCAUUCCGUCAUAGGCAAAAUAGGGAACAUGGAUUAUUUUUUUUUUAUUUUGCAUCGAGAAGCAAUCGAAAUUACUGCGCAUAACCGACCCUAAGGUGAGUUAGCAUUCCGUCAUAGGCAAAAUAGGGAACAUGGAUUAUUUUUUUUUUAUUUUGCAUCGAGAAGCAAUCGAAAUUACUGCGCAUAACCGACCCUAAGGUGAGUUAGCAUUCCGUCAUAGGCAAAAUAGGGAACAUGGAUUAUUUUUUUUUUAUUUUGCAUCGAGAAGCAAUCGAAAUUACUGCGCAUAACCGACCCUAAGGUGAGUUAGCAUUCCGUCAUAGGCAAAAUAGGGAACAUGGAUUAUUUUUUAUUUAUUUUGCCUCGAGAAGCAAUCGAAAUUGCUGCGCAUAACCGACCCUAAGGUGAGUUAGCAUUCCGUCAUAGGCACAAUAGGGAACAUGGAUUAUUUUUUUUUUAUU
rnacentral:lncRNA from 1 species